rnacentral:sRNA from 1 species
CAUUUGGUUUUUUUUUUUUUUAAAAAUGGGCUGUCCAGGUUGUAGUCUAAAAACUUCUUGCAUAUGGGUCGCAUGUGCUGCGGUUGCUUUGGGUUUUGUUACGUUGAUAAUCACUGGUAUUAAAAUGGAAACUAAUGGAUUAAACGAUAUUUCAAUUAUCAGAAUAGCUUUAAAUAUCUUAUUUAUAAUUGGAGCUUUGUGUCUCUUCGUCGGCACUAUAUCGCUAUUAGGAGAAAAAAACUCUUGUGAAAAUAUGGAUCGCAAUUGCUAUAUUUUGCACAUUUAGUCUGUUGUUUUGUACUUUUAUUUAUUUAUUAACCAAUUGGAAGAAAUUAUCGGCGUGGCCAAGAAUACAUUCAUUUUUGUACGUUUUAUUGGUUUGCGUUGCACUUUUCUUCUGGACUUUCUUUCCACGGCGUUAUUACAGAGAAUUAGAUAAUCUCAGUGACUAGUAAGCAUUCCGGAUUUAAAUUCUUUAUCAAUAAAAUUGGGCUGGAAAUCGAUGUUAUCCUGCUUUGAAACAGCCAGGAUUUAAUGGAUAAAAUGGCUAUUGCGGAAUUAUUAUCUACCAGCUAUUGGCAUGAAAAUUUUGGCUCCCAUGCAUGGACUUUCGACUUAAUUAUUGUGUAGAUCCUAGUUCUCAUUGCUGCUUAGUGCUUGAUUUUUGGGCCAUGAUUGGCAAUUACAGCUUCGAUCUUUGGAGUACAUCUCGAUCCAGUAAAGAAGCUUCAUGAUGAUGAUCUGGACCACAAUGGCUCUCGUUUGCUGGGUAUUUAAAAAAUUGCAAUUAAUGUCAGCUUGUGGACGCUCAGGAGAUUUAUUCUCAAUGCUCCUUGGUUUUAUUAACUAUAUACAUGAGCUCAGGAGAGGCCUGGACUAGGCGCCCAUCUUUAAAAAGUUUUGACCGAAAUCGAAAUAAAUUUAAUGUUGGC